GACGAACGCUGGCGGCGUGCUUAACACAUGCCAGUCGAACGGAAAGGCCCUGCUUUUGUGGGGUGCUCGAGUGGCGAACGGGUGAGUAACACGUGAGUAACCUGCCCUUGACUUUGGGAUAACUUCAGGAAACUGGGGCUAAUACCGGAUAGGAGCUCCUGCUGCAUGGUGGGGGUUGGAAAGUUUCGGCGGUUGGGGAUGGACUCGCGGCUUAUCAGCUUGUUGGUGGGGUAGUGGCUUACCAAGGCUUUGACGGGUAGCCGGCCUGAGAGGGUGACCGGCCACAUUGGGACUGAGAUACGGCCCAGACUCCUACGGGAGGCAGCAGUGGGGAAUAUUGCACAAUGGGCGGAAGCCUGAUGCAGCAACGCCGCGCGGGAUGACGGCCUUCGGGUUGUAAACCGCUUUCGCCUGUGACGAAGCGUGAGUGACGGUAAUGGGUAAAGAAGCACCGGCUAACUACGUG
rnacentral:rRNA from 1 species